UGAUAAGUUAAAGUUUAUUUAAAAACUUAACUUAGUUAGUUGGAUUUAAUUUCCAUGAUAUAAAAUAAUAAAGGGGUGAAGUUUAAAACUAAAUAAGUAAAGGAAACUUGAGGGACUAAAGUUGUAACAUGUCAAAAAUUAAAGUUAAUUAAAAAUUAAAAAGGAUUAAAAACCCACACACACUCUCUGUGCGUGGGUUCUGGACGAUCGAAGGGAAGACAAGGGUUGAAACCCUAGCAUCAAGAAAUCCAGCAAUUUAGCUUGAAUCAAAGGAAAAAUUCGAUGCAUGAUGCCCUAAACUCGAGUAGCUAACCUCAGUUUCCGAAGUGGCACGAAGAAGGAAGAAGGCGCAAGUCACUCGAAGGCAUAAGUAUUUCAAGAUCGCUGUAAAACUCCACUCUAGGCGAUUUGGAGAUUUGGAGCGAGCACGGGCCCAUGCUAUGUUAUACCAAAUGCUUCCGCUAGUUUUUGUUCGUCUUUAUGGUCCGUGACUUGUUAUUUUGUCCAACUUUGUUAGUAGUCGUAUUUUGCAAAAACUUGUGGUCUUUGUCUUGGGUAGUUUAAUGUCAAAAAGGGUCAUAGAUUGUUGUUAGUUUUAUGUGUUAAAAACAGGGAGGCAUGUCCGUUUUUACGAACGGGUCAUGCCCAAUUUUCCUAAGAAUUUUAUUAUGUAUCAAAGUUUGGUAA